rnacentral:rRNA from 1 species
GAUGAACGCUGGCGGCGUGCCUAACACAUGCAAGUCGAGCGAUUUACUUCGGUAAAGAGCGGCGGACGGGUGAGUAACGCGUGGGUAACCUGCCCUAUACACACGGAUAACAUACCGAAAGGUAUGCUAAUACGAGAUAAUAUAAGAGAUUCACAUGGAUUUCUUAUCAAAGCUGAGGCGGUAUAGGAUGGACCCGCGUCUGAUUAGCUAGUUGGUAAGGUAACGGCUUACCAAGGCGACGAUCAGUAGCCGACCUGAGAGGGUGAUCGGCCACAUUGGAACUGAGACACGGUCCAAACUCCUACGGGAGGCAGCAGUGGGGAAUAUUGCACAAUGGGCGAAAGCCUGAUGCAGCAACGCCGCGUGAGCGAUGAAGGCCUUUGGGUCGUAAAGCUCUGUCCUCAAGGAAGAUAAUGACGGUACUUGA